rnacentral:ncRNA from 1 species
AGGUCUCGCGCACCAGAUCGUCCGAGAAAUUGGCGAGCUGGAACGGGUCGAAAUAGCCGGCCGGGUUCGCCGUCAUCCAGGAGUAGAUCCGGCUCGAGCCGAGCCAUUGCAGGAGCAGGUAGCAGGCUUCCGGAUGGGCGCUCUGGGCCGAGACCGAGGCCGAGAGGUUGAGCCACAACACCGAGCGGCGGACGAGCCCGCCAUCGACCGGACGGCCGGGCGGCAGCAUG